AUUGAACGCUGGCGGCAUGCCUUACACAUGCAAGUCGAACGGCAGCACGGGUGCUUGCACCUGGUGGCGAGUGGCGAAUGGGUGAGUAAUACAUCGGAACGUACCUUAUCGUGGGGGAUAACGCAGCGAAAGCUGUGCUAAUACCGCAUACGCCCUGUGGGGGAAAGCGGGGGAUCGAAAGACCUCGCGCGAUUAGAGCGGCCGAUGCCUGAUUAGAUUGUUGGUGGGGUAAAAGCCCACCAAGGCGACGAUCAGUAGCUGGUCUGAGAGGACGAUCAGCCACACUUGGACUGAGACACGGCCCAGACUCCUACGGGAGGCAGCAGUGGGGAAUUUUGGACAAUGGGGGCAACCCUGAUCCAGCAAUGCCGCGUGAGUGAAGAAGGCCUUCGGGUUGUAAAGCUCUUUUGUCAGGGAAGAAACACCGGCUCUAACACAGUCCGGGAAUGACGGUACCUGAAGAAUAAGCACCGGCUAACUACGUGCCAGCCGCCGCGGUAA
rnacentral:rRNA from 1 species